UGGGGAAUAUUGCACAAUGGGGGAAACCCUGAUGCAGCGACGCCGCGUGAAGGAAGAAGUAUCUCGGUAUGUAAACUUCUAUCAGCAGGGAAGACAAUGACGGUACCUGACUAAGAACGCCCGGCUAACUACGUGCC
rnacentral:rRNA from 1 species